rnacentral:miRNA from 1 species
UUGGCCAAAAAGUUUAUUCGGGUUUUUCCAUAAGAUGUUAUGUUAAAACCCAAAUGAAAUUUUGGGUCAA